GUUUAUUUGAAAAAAUGUCAGGCUCUUUCGGACUUUUGAAGGUUUACUGAAACGAAAAGAAAAAAUGCGAGAGAACAAAACGGAAAUAAAUGUCAAUGUCAAUCAUGUCGGUGACAAAAUUACCAAAUUUUCAAUGUCAAUAAGCAUAGUCCCAAGGCGUAUAUACCAGGUGGCCGCAUCAACCCAGCUGAUGUGUCAAUUUAUUUUUGAAUUCGCCGUACAAAAAUAUAAACUUCAAAAUAAAUACUUUAUAAAUUGUG